rnacentral:lncRNA from 1 species
AUGACGUUCUUUGACACCAUUCAUUUCAUUAUUAGAUCCACUACCGACAUAUUUAUGAAUGCUAAAUUAUUUACAGUUGAAUGUCUGUCAUGCUUAUGCAUUAUAUUUUUUUUACUUUUACAUCAGAAUUUAGCAUGCGAAAUUCUAGGUUUGACUAAAGCCGAAUAAUAAGCUUUAUUGGUCAAACGGAGAGACUCACGCUCGGUAAACUCCUUGUCCUUGUUAAGAGAUAACGGUUUAAGUGUAGAACAAGAUGUGCGUGACUGCCGCUUAUAUAGAAACAUUAACAUUGAACAUAACUCAAGUGUUGAAAUGUAAAUAUUCCGUAUGACUAUUCAUAUAGCUAGUCAACAUAAAGCUUCAAAAGGAUUCGUCACAUUGAGGUGAUGAUUUUGGGAGAGGCAGUAAUUUAUUACAGACGCAAAUGAAGUUGUAAAAUGACAAGCACCAACAGCAUAUGUGUCAUGCAGAUUUAAAAAAUAGAGAACUUUCUUGGCUUUAGGUGAGCAUUUUAAUUCAGUGUAUGCUUACAAAAGACAAAUACAAAUAUUGGUUGUUACACAUAACAAAUGACAAAAUCUUCAAUUUUUUGAAAAUAUGAAAAGUUAUAUAAUAAUAUAGCUAAUCAGUUUGUAAUCAGAAUUCAAUAUUUUUUCUCCCAAAUCAAAACGAAUCCAGAAAGAUUCUUAAACGGCUACAAGCACGUAAAAUAUAUUGUUUGUUUAAUUAAUUCAUUAAUUUUAAUUUAUUCAUUUACAGUAUUUUUUUUUUUUUUUUUUUUUUUUUUUACCAUAGUAAAUUACUAUGUCUAAGGUACUUUUCACCCUCGGAUUUUCUAGGUAAUGUUAAUCAAAUAUACUCAUAAUUUUAAUUUUAAUUUCUAUUUACUAGUAUUUUUUUUUUUUUUUUUUUUUUUUUUUUUUUUACCUAUUUAGAAAAUUCCAUGCAAGGUACUUUUCACCCCUCGGAUUUUCUAGGUAAUGUUAAUCAAAUAUACUCAUGCUAAACACAAUGACAGACUGUAUGGAAAACAAAACGAAAAUGACAAUUAAAGGACUUACUAUUUCUGCAUGGAUAAAAUCCGGAGUGAAGCAUUUACAGCACCGGUCGUAGAACCUCAUAAAAACCUAACAGCUUUUUGAUGCCAGUGGGAACAUGCCUAUGGAAGCUUUAGCUAAGUUGUUUUAACAAAGGCAUACAAACGCAAACCGUUCAGUUUUUGGAAAUCAAGGCUUGGCUGCUGCAUUGUUUGUUACCUCAGUAACUGUGAAACUGACAACUCUCUGAAGAUACUGCGCUGAUAUAUAGACAUUCAAACGCAAACUCUUGAACAAAAUCAGCU